CCUACGGUGGCAGCAGUGGGGAAUAUUGGACAAUGGGCGAAAGCCUGAUCCAGCCAUGCCGCGUGUGUGAAGAAGGCCUUCGGGUUGUAAAGCACUUUCAGUGGGGAAGAAAGCCUUGGGGCUAAUACCCUCGAGGAAGGACAUCACCCACAGAAGAAGCACCGGCUAACUCCGUGCCAGCAGCCGCGGUAAUACGGAGGGUGCGAGCGUUAAUCGGAAUUACUGGGCGUAAAGCGCGCGUAGGCGGUCUGAUAAGCCGGUUGUGAAAGCCCCGGGCUCAACCUGGGAACGGCAUCCGGAACUGUCAGGCUAGAGUGCAGGAGAGGAAGGUAGAAUUCCCGGUGUAGCGGUGAAAUGCGUAGAGAUCGGGAGGAAUACCAGUGGCGAAGGCGGCCUUCUGGACUGACACUGACGCUGAGGUGCGAAAGCGUGGGUAGCAAACAGGAUUAGAACCCUAGUAGUC
rnacentral:rRNA from 1 species